GGAGCCACUAGCCGGGGAGCUGUCAGAGGAGUGCAUCUGUCACACGCCGCCUUCUCUCCUCCUCCUCCCCCCCCCCACUCUCCUCCUCAGUUUCCCCCCUCCCCACCCUCACUCUUGGCUCAAGCCCUCCACAGAAGAGGGCAAUAACGGACAGAGGAGGAGGAGAAGCGAAGAGGGCGCCCCCGCUCCCCACAUCAGCUUCUUGCUGCCGUCGCCCAGAUACAAUGGACAAACAUUGAAUUCCGGUUGAGAAUGAACAAGGAGCUUGAGUGAUUCCCCUGGCUUCUCCUCUCUUUCUCACACCUCUAUGGAAGAAUGCUUUAUUUCCUCAAACCAUCAUUACUGGCUUGCAGUAACCACAGGUGGGCUUUUUCACUGGUGGCAACAGUGUUGUAGAAUGCCCUCCCUGUUGAAAUGUGAUAGGCUCUAUCCGUAUGGAUAUUCCAGCAACUCCUGAAGACACAGCUAUCUAGGCAAGCAUUCCAUUGAACUUGAACUUCCUGACUGAACUGCUUGCAUUGCUCUUUUAACUGCUUUUAUUUUUAUUCUUUUUAAUUGCCUUGUUGUAUGGUAAAUUCUAAUUAUAUAUAUAUAUAUUAAGGUUUUGAUGGAAUUGUUUCCAUCAUGUAUUUUAAUUAUGUAUGGAUUUUAUAAUUGAUUUUAUACUUGUAAACCACUUAGAGAUUAUUUUGCCAUAUAUGUCGCAGAGGAAUUUGUUGAUAUCUGGGAGCUGAUUCAACUUAGACCUGCCUUUUAAUUCCCACAGUCAUUAUAGCUCUCACUUUCUGCA